GACGAACGCUGGCGGUGUGCUUAACACAUGCAAGUCGAACGGUAAGGCCCUUUCGGGGGUACACGAGUGGCGAACGGGUGAGUAACACGUGAGUAACCUGCCCUCAUCUCUGGGAUAACAGUCGGAAACGGUUGCUAAUCCUGGAUAUGAGCCUGCAAGGCAUCUUGUGGGUUGGAAAGAUUUUUUGGUUGGGGAUGGACUCGCGGCCUAUCAGCUUGUUGGUGAGGUAGUGGCUCACCAAGGCUUCGACGGGUAGCCGGCCUGAGAGGGCGACCGGCCACAUUGGGACUGAGAUACGGCCCAAACUCCUACGGGAGGCAGCAGUGGGGAAUAUUGCACAAUGGACGGAAGUCUGAUGCAGCAACGCCGCGUGCGGGAUGACGGCCUUCGGGUUGUAAACCGCUUUCAAUUGUGACGAAGCUUUUUGUGACGGUAGCAGUAGAAGAAGCACCGGCUAACUACGUG
rnacentral:rRNA from 1 species